rnacentral:tRNA from 1 species
AUUAGUUUGGCAGAUAAGUGUAGUUGAUUUAGAAUCAUUUAAUAAUUUUUUUUUAGUUAACUAAUA